UGCGUAGGCGGAUCUGCAAGUCGGGUGUGAAAGCCCGGGGCUCAACCCCGGAAUUGCAUCCGAAACUGCUGGUCUUGAGUGCUGGAGAGGGUAGCGGAAUUCCUGGAGUAGCGGUGAAAUGCGUAGAUAUCAGGAAGAACACCCGUGGCGAAAGCGGCUACCUGGACAGACACUGACGCUGAGGCACGAAAGCGUGGGGAGCAAACA
rnacentral:rRNA from 1 species